AUGAGUAUAGUUGAGGAUUAUAGCGGUGAUGAAAGUGACGAUGAAAGGGAAAAGAAAGAGAUUUUACAACACAUGGAAUGUUUUAACCGAUUAUUUGUUGUUGCAUCUUCUUCCGUGCAAUUAUAUUACGAGAAGUAUAUAUUGAGGCAACCAUGCAUGGAUUCAAAACAGUCAGGCGAGACAUGGAUCCGAGAGAUCCUUGACGGUCACGAAUCACGUUGUAUGAUUAAUUUUAGGAUGUCUAAAAUGGUAUUCACAAGUUUGCUGAGAGUUUUGGAGACAAGAUACAACUUGCAAACUUCAAGAAACAUAUCUUCUACUGAAAUGUUGGGAAUUUUUUUAUACAUCUUGGGCACCGGUGCAAAAGUUUCCCAAUGUCGAGAAAGAUUUCAAAGGUCUGGAUCAACAAUAAGUCGACACUUUGCAGUUGUGCUUGAGAAAGUUUCAAGGAUGGCCACUGAUCUAAUUGCACCCGAAGAUCCUUUUUUUAGCUCAAUACCCGAACAAAUACGAUUGCAUAGGUGCAAUUGAUGGUACUCACAUUGCGGCUAUUCUUCCACCAAAUGAACAAAUUCCCUAUAUUGGAAGAAAAGGUAUCCCGACUCAAAAUGUUAUGGCAGUAUGUGAUUUUAAUAUGUGUUUCACAUUUGUCAUGGCUGGAUGGGAAGGAUCGGCACAUGACACUAGAAUAUUUCUUGAUGCAAUUCGAGAUCCAAAAUACAAAUUUCCGCACCCUCCAAAUGGAAAAUAUUAUCUUGUUGAUUCUGGAUAUCCUCAAAUGAAAGGUUAUCUUGGACCAUAUAGAGGUCAGCGAUAUCAUUUACCUGACUUCCGUAGAGGUAGACCGAUAUCUGGUAAAGAAGAGAUAUUCAAUCAUUCACAUUCAUCAUUACGUAGUGUGAUUGAACGAACUUUUGGUGUUUUGAAAAAAAAAUGGGCCAUUUUAAAGGAUAUGCCAAGUUAUAGUUUUGAAAAGCAAACGAUGAUCGUUGUUGCUACAAUGACGAUACACAAUUUUAU